rnacentral:rRNA from 1 species
GUGCCAGCAGCCGCGGUAAUACCGGCAGCUCAAGUGAUGUCCCAUAUUAUUGGGCCUAAAGCGUCCGUAGCUGGCCGACCAAGUCUCCCGGGAAAUCCACCCGCCCAACGGGUGGGCGUCCGGUAGAAACUGGCCGGCUUGGAACCGGAAGGCUCAGAGAGUACGUCCGGGGUAGGAGUGAAAUCCCGUAAUCCUGGACGGACCGCCGAUGGCGAAAGCACGUCGCGAAGACGGAUCCGACAGUGAGGGACGAAAGCUAGGGUCUCGAACCGGAUUAGAUACCCGAGUAGUCC